UAUGGGAUCGGGGAUCAGGGAUUUAUGGGAUUUAUGGGGUUUGGGGUUUAUGGGAUUGUGGGAUGUGUGGUACAGGGAUCAGUUCCUGCCCCUCGUGUUCCACAGACACCCCAGCCCCGAGUACUCCCGCUACUUUUCCCGGCGGGAUCUGGAGGCGUUUUCGGCGGAGCCGCUGCUGCUGUUCCCCACUCACUACACGGGGGAGCCCGGCUACGUCAGCGACACCGAGACGGCCCCGGCGCCGCCGCGCGACGAGCUCUGACCCCAAUAAAACUCACACUUGGAUUUUUAAACGGCUUUUUGCUGGUUUUAUUUUCGGGAUUUUUUUUGGGAUUUUUGGGGAUUUUUUAUGGGGUUUUUUGGGAUUUUUUUUGGAUUUUUUGGGGAUUUUUUUAUGGGUUAUUUUGGGGUUUUUUGGGGAUUUUUUUCUUGGGUUUUUGGGGAUUUUUUCUGGGUUUUAUUGGGAUUUUUUCCAGGGUUUUUUGGGAUUUUUUCUGGGUUUUAUUGGGAUUUUUUCUGGCUUUUAUUGGGAUUUUUUCUGGGUUUUAUUGGGAUUUUUUCUGGGUUUUUUGGGAUUUCUUUUUUGAUUUUUUGGGGGAUUUUUU
rnacentral:lncRNA from 1 species